AUGAUAAAUCAAAAUCUUAGUAUUCUAAGCUGGAAUGUCCGAGGCCUAAAUUGUCCUGGCCGUCGAUCAACAAUCCGAGAAACAAUCCUCGCUACUCCAUGUCAUUUGGUCUGUCUGCAGGAGACCAAGAUAGAGCUUGUCGACCCUUUCAUCGCUUCAUACCUGGGAGGUCAAAGAUUAAAGAAUUUUGCCCAGCGCCCUGCUAAUGGUACACGGGGUGGCAUCUUGCUUCUUUGGGAUAACGAUGUUGUGGAUGUGAAGGAUGUUUCCAUCGGAGUCUUCUUCCUCUCCUGCAACGUCACGAUCAAAGAAUCCAAUACAAUCUUUAAGCUAACA
rnacentral:rRNA from 1 species